rnacentral:rRNA from 1 species
ACGCGUAUGAAACACAAGCUGAAAGACUUUUGUCAAUGACGUAAGUGGUGGUGCAUGGUCGUUCUUAGUUCGUGGAGUGAUUUGUCUGGUUUAUUCCGAUAACGAGCGAGACCCCGGCGUUCCUAAUAGGGGCGGCAGCCCGGCUUGCGCCUUCGGGCGCUCGCUAGCAGCCGCCUCGCAAUAGCUUCUUAGACGUAUCAGAGCCGAUAAGGUUCUUGAAAUGGGUUAAUAACAGGUCAGUCAUGCCCUUAGAUGUUCUGGGCCGCACGCGCGUUACAAUGGUAGACUAAAAGAGUGCCUUUACAGGGCGAUWCCGGGGCCGAAAGGCCUCGGUAACCCCUAGAGUCUCCCUUGACUGGGACAGACUAUUGCAAUUAUUGGUUCAAACGAGGAA